UACGUAGGGUGCGAGCGUUGUCCGGAAUUAUUGGGCGUAAAGAGCUCGUAGGCGGCCUGUUGCGUCGGAUGUGAAAGCCCGGGGCUUAACCCCGGGUCUGCAUUCGAUACGGGCAGGCUAGAGUUCGGUAGGGGAGAUCGGAAUUCCUGGUGUAGCGGUGAAAUGCGCAGAUAUCAGGAGGAACACCGGUGGCGAAGGCGGAUCUCUGGGCCGAUACUGACGCUGAGGAGCGAAAGCGUGGGGAGCGAACAGG
rnacentral:rRNA from 1 species